UCCCUGCACCCAACCCCCCAGAACUACCGGGUGAGUUGCAGGCGGCCCGCAGGAGAGCCACCGUACAUCUGGGCAGGCAAUCCGCCCACCCAGGGAACUGCUUCUGAUCAUCUGCGGCAGCUAGGCCUGCUCCUAAGCAGGGUUAGACAGGCAGAAAUCAACAUGUGAAGCUUUUCAUGGCUCGGAGAGAAACAUGUUCACUGCUCAGUGAUGCAGAUCAAGCUGCUGUAAAAGGGACAGCUAUAGGGGGCAAUUUGGAUAUUGGCAACCCUACUCCCUUCUCCAGGAGCAUCAUUAGGGGUGGCCCCCAAUGAAUUGCUAGAGCCACAAGUCUCAUCAGCCCAGAGCCGGGGUGCCAAUUUUCCCCCCUUAGCCACUUGCUUGCUUAUUUGUUUGUUAGUUUGUUUAUUAUUUAAUUUUUUACAUUUUAUAUCCCUCCAAGGAGCCCAGAGUGAUGUACUACAUACUUAGGUUUCUCCUCACAACAACCCAGUGAAGUAGGUUAGGCUGAGAGAGAAGUGACUGGCCCAGAGUCACCCAGCAAGUAUCAUGGCUGAAUGGGGAUUUGAACUCGGGUCUCUCCGGUCCUAGUCCAGCACUCUAACCACUACACGACCACACUGGCUCUCAAAGAUGAUAAUCAAGAACAUCAUUUUUCAUGACCCUUUCAGAUUUCAGUUAUAGGUACUCCAGAAAAGAAGUACAGGAGUGGAGGCACCUGCAUAGAACACAGGAGAAAGCGCCUUGCCUCACCUAGCUCUCUGCUGCUUCCACCUUCAAGAACAUAAGAACAGCCCUGCUGGAUCAGGCACAAGACCCAUCUAGUCCAGCAUCCUGUUUCACAUAGUGGCCCACCAGAUGCCUCUGGGGAGCACACAGGCAAGAGAAUUUCCACUGAGCUGAAUGGAGCUCCCUAGUAUGGAUGAGAUUUCAGCAGCUCCAGUGUGUCAUACCAGUAGCCUCCAGUGAUGUAGUUGCAAGUUCACAAGUGCAGGCGCUCUCUAUGACAGCCCCCAUGGCCAUGCCCAACUCAACAGCCAGAGAAGCCAAGAAGUACUGGCGCCUUGCCCCUGCACGCUCUGCCUCCACAACACAUCUGGAAGCCUCUUAACCUAAGAAUCUCCAAAUUUUAAAAACAUAAUUUUUAAGCUGUCAGGUCUUCGGUUUCUGUUACAAAAUUAAUAAUAAUCAUAAUCAUAACAACAACAACAACAACAAGUGUGCUGCAUUAAUAAUGAACAGAGGAAAAAUAACAAACACAGAAGGAAUAGAACUGCCCAAUGGAAGCAAGAUCAAGAACCUGGAAGAGAAAGAACAUUACAAAUACUUGGGCAUUCUCCAGGUUGAUAACAUCGCACACACUGAAGUUAAAAGAAAAAUUGGAAGUGAAUACAUCAGGAGAGUUAGAAAAAUCCUCAAGUCCAAACUCAAUGGCGGGAACACCAUACAAGCCAUAAACACCUGGGCUAUACCUGUUAUCAGAUACACUGCAGGAAUAAUAGACUGGACCCAGGCAGAGCUAGAGACACUAGAUUGUAAGACCAGGGAAAUAAUGACCAUCAACCAUGCUCUGCACCCCCGCAGUGAUGUAAAUAGGCUAUACCUCCCUCGCAGUUCAGGUGGAAGAGGAAUGCUGCAAGUCCAUCAAACAGUAGAGGGGGAGAAGAAAAGAGGCCUUGAAGAUUAUAUAAAAGACAGUGAAGAAGAUGCACUAUUAGACUAUUCAACACCAAUGAAACAAAGCAGGCCUACAAGAAAGAACAAGUCAAGAACCAAGCAGAAAAAUGGAGAAAUAAGCCACUGCAUGGUCAAUAUUUGCACAAUAUAAGUGGAAAAUCAGACAUCACCAAGACCUGGCAAUGGCUUAAAAAUGGCAACUUGAAGAAAGAAACAGAGGGUUUAAUACCGGCUGCACAAGUACAGGCACUAAGAACAAAUGCAAUAAGAGCAAAAGUAGAAAAAUCAACAACAAACAGCAAGUGCCGCCUUUGUAAAGAAGCAGAUGAAACAGUGGACCACCUAAUCAGCUGUUGUAAAAAGAUUGCACAGACUGACUACAAACAAAGGCAUGACAAGGUAGCAGGGAUGAUACACUGGAACAUCUGCAAAAAAUACAAGCUACCUGUAGCCAAAAAUUGGUGGGACCAUAAAAUUGAAAAAGUUGUAGAAAAUGAAGAUGCAAAAAUAUUAUGGGACUUCCGACUACAGACAGACAAACAUCUGCCACACAAUACACCAGAUAUAACUGUAGUCGAGAAGAAAGAAAAACAAGUCAAAAUAAUCGACAUAACAAUACCAGGGGAUAGCAAUAUAGAAGAAAAAGAAACAGGAAAAAUCACAAAAUACAAAGAUCUACAAACUGAAAUUGAAAGGCUGUGGCAGAAAAAGACCAAAGUAAUCCCAGUGGUAAUUGGCGCCCUAGGUGCAAUUCCAAAACAACUUGAAGAGCACCUCAACACCAUAGGGGCCACAGAAAUCACCAUCAGCCAAUUACAAAAAGCAGCUUUACUGGGAACAGCCUAUAUUUUGCGACUAUAUCUAUAAUAACCAACAGUAUUCAUGGUAAAAUUCAGCCAUCCCAGGUCCUUGGGAAGGACUCGAUGUCUGGAUAAAACAAACCAGUCAAUAACACCUGUCUGACUGUGUAAACAAUAAAUAAUAAUAAUA